rnacentral:rRNA from 1 species
UACGAAGGGGGCUAGCGUUGUUCGGAAUUACGGGGCGUAAAGGGCGCGUAGGCGGUGUGUCAAGUCAGGCGUGAAAGCCCCGGGCUCAACCUGGGAACGGCGCUUGAGACUGGCACGCUCGAGUUCGGGAGAGGAUGGUGGAAUUCCCAGUGUAGAGGUGAAAUUCGUAGAUAUUGGGAAGAACACCGAUGGCGAAGGCAGCCAUCUGGACCGACACUGACGCUGAGGCGCGAAAGCGUGGGGAGCAAACAGG